AGUGAACGCUGGCGGUAGGCCUAACACAUGCAAGUCGAACGGCAGCACAGUAAGAGCUUGCUCUUACGGGUGGCGAGUGGCGGACGGGUGAGGAAUACAUCGGAAUCUACUUUUUCGUGGGGGAUAACGUAGGGAAACUUACGCUAAUACCGCAUACGACCUACGGGUGAAAGCAUGGGAUCUUCGGACCUUGCGCGAUUGAAUGAGCCGAUGUCGGAUUAGCUAGUUGGCGGGGUAAAGGCCCACCAAGGCGACGAUCCGUAGCUGGUCUGAGAGGAUGAUCAGCCACACUGGAACUGAGACACGGUCCAGACUCCUACGGGAGGCAGCAGUGGGGAAUAUUGGACAAUGGGCGCAAGCCUGAUCCAGCCAUACCGCGUGGGUGAAGAAGGCCUUCGGGUUGUAAAGCCCUUUUGUUGGGAAAGAAAAGCAGCAGGUUAAUACCCCGCUGUUCUGACGGUACCCGAAGAAUAAGCACCGGCUAACUUCGUG
rnacentral:rRNA from 1 species